CACGUAGGGUGCGAGCGUUGUCCGGAAUUAUUGGGCGUAAAGAGCUCGUAGGCGGUGUGUCGCGUCGGCCGUGAAAACCUGCAGCUUAACUGUGGGCUUGCGGUCGAUACGGGCAUCACUGGAGUUCGGCAGGGGAGACUGGAAUUCCUGGUGGAGCGGUGAAAUGCGCAGAUAUCAGGAGGAACACCCGUAGCGAAGGCGGCACUCUGGGCCGAUACUGACACUGAGGAGCGAAAGCGUGGGGAGCGAACAGG
rnacentral:rRNA from 1 species